rnacentral:rRNA from 1 species
UGGGGAAUAUUGCGCAAUGGGCGAAAGCCUGACGCAGCGACGCCGCGUGAGGGAUGAAGGUUUUCGGAUCGUAAACCUCUGUCAGAAGGGAAGAAACCGCACUGUGCUAAUCAGCAGUGCCUUGACGGUACCUUCAAAGGAAGCACCGGCUAACUCCGUGCCAGCAGCCGCGGUAAUACGGAGGGUGCAAGCGUUAAUCGGAAUUACUGGGCGUAAAGCGCACGUAGGCUGCUUUGUAAGUCAGGGGUGAAAUCCCACGGCUCAACCGUGGAACUGCCUUUGAUACUGCUUAGCUUGAAUCCGGGAGAGGGUGGCGGAAUUCCAGGUGUAGGAGUGAAAUCCGUAGAUAUCUGGAGGAACAUCAGUGGCGAAGGCGGCCACCUGGACCGGUAUUGACGCUGAGGUGCGAAAGCGUGGGGAACAAACAGG